GAGACAGCAGUAGCCGCGGUAAAACGGAGGGGGCUAGCGUUGUUCGGAAUUACUGGGCGUAAAGCGUACGUAGGCGGCUUUGUAAGUUAGAGGUGAAAGCCUGGUGCUCAACACCAGAACUGCCUUUAAGACUGCAUCGCUUGAACGUCGGAGAGGUGAGUGGAAUUCCGAGUGUAGAGGUGAAAUUCGUAGAUAUUCGGAAGAACACCAGUGGCGAAGGCGGCUCACUGGACGACUGUUGACGCUGAGGUACGAAAGCGUGGGGAGCAAACAGGAUUAGAUACCCGCGUAGUCCCUGUCUCUUAUAC
rnacentral:rRNA from 1 species